CAGAGAAUAGUUUAAAGAAUAAAAUAUUAGUUUUGGGAAUUAAAGAUAAAAGUAUUUUUUCUCUGA
rnacentral:tRNA from 1 species